GACGAACGCUGGCGGCGUGCUUAACACGUGCAAGUCGAACGGAAAGGCCCUGCUUUUGUGGGGUGCUCGAGUGGCGAACGGGUGAGUAACACGUGAGUAACCUGCCCUUGACUUUGGGAUAACUUCAGGAAACUGGGGCUAAUACCGGAUAGGAGCUCCUGCUGCAUGGUGGGGGUUGGAAAGUUUCGGCGGUUGGGGAUGGACUCGCGGCUUAUCAGCUUGUUGGUGGGGUAGUGGCUUACCAAGGCUUUGACGGGUAGCCGGCCUGAGAGGGUGACCGGCCACAUUGGGACUGAGGUACGGCCCAGACUCCUACGGGAGGCAGCAGUGGGGAAUAUUGCACAAUGGGCGGAAGCCUGAUGCAGCAACGCCGCGUGCGGGAUGACGGCCUUCGGGUUGUAAACCGCUUUCGCCUGUGACGAAGCGUGAGUGACGGUAAUGGGUAAAGAAGCACCGGCUAACUACGUG
rnacentral:rRNA from 1 species